rnacentral:rRNA from 1 species
CCUACGGGUGGCAGCAGUGAGGAAUAUUGGUCAAUGGACGAGAGUCUGAACCAGCCAAGUAGCGUGAAGGAUGACUGCCCUAUGGGUUGUAAACUUCUUUUAUAUGGGAAUAAAACGUUCCACGUGUGGGAUUUUGUAUGUACCAUAUGAAUAAGGAUCGGCUAAUUCCGUGCCAGCAGCCGCGGUAAUACGGAGGAUCCGAGCGUUAUCCGGAUUUAUUGGGUUUAAAGGGAGCGUAGGUGGAUUGUUAAGUGAGUUGUGAAAGUUUGCGGCUCAACCGUAAAAUUGCAGUUGAAACUGGCAGUCUUGAGUACAGUAGAGGUGGGCGGAAUUCGUGGUGUAGCGGUGAAAUGCUUAGAUAUCACGAAGAACUCCGAUUGCGAAGGCAGUUCACUGGACUGCAACUGACACUGAGGCUCGAAAGUGUGGGUAUCAAACAGGAUUAGAUACCCGAGUAGUC